AUUUUGUUUUUAUGCUCAAAAUGUUGGGCAGGAUACUUUUGUAGCUCACAUAUGUUGUUGCUUCUCUGCUGGCUCAUUUGAUGGCUAUGGGGCAGCAGCUCAGCCUGCCACCACCUCUAGAUGUUUCUUCAGCUUCUCCAACUCCAAGGCUGGCAUUCUCUCUCUUGCUGCCCUGUGAAGAGGUGCCUUCUGCCAUAAUUUUACAGAGCUUUCACUCUAGCAUCUGAAAAAGGAACCAACUCCUGCUAAAUCUUGAGAAUUGACACAUUGAAGCCUUAUCUUCAGACUCUGAAAAAGGCUGGAAGCUUAUCAUGGGCCUGGAUCUUGUGCUAUUCAAAUGUUUUCACCGAUGCCUACAACUGUAUUUGGCACAUAGAAGUGCAGAGUGCUUUUUCCACCAAAGAAGAGACAUUGUACUCUUUUUGGGGUUAUAUUAAUGACUAAUUCACCUCUCUGUCCUCCUCAAUGCCAUCUGUCUUUUGUUUGGUCUCCCUGAUGUUAGUCACGAAGUCUGCUUAGAAGGAUUUAUGUCUUACUUUGAUAUAGGUUCUAUACUCAAUGCUAGGGAACAAUCAUUGGCAAGAUGUGUCUCCUUUACUCAAAGAGGUUUUAAUGGUCUAUGUUUGGAAAAGAGACAUACAGUCAUUAGAAUGCAAUAUUGUGAAAGUUGACAAGGGAAAUUCUUGGGGUUAUGGGAAUCUUCAAUAUCUUUAUUGAGAAAUACAGAUAUACACAUUUAUCAAAACUCAUAAAAUGAUGAAUUUGUAGUAUUUUAUUGUGUAUAAAUUAUGCCUCAAUAAAAGUUCAUUGUAAUGUGCUGAAAGAAUAAAUGAUAAAGAA
rnacentral:lncRNA from 1 species